UGAAACAUCUAUAGGCGCACCCCUAAACUGAAUCGUUGGCCUGGCGAUACUUGCCGUGGCGAGCAUUCGCCAGGCUAUACUAAGGUAUGCCUAUCUAUAUUCUGUGUAGUAGAGUGUACGGUGUGGCUUCUCACUCAGUUCGACGUUGUUGUUUACUACGGUACACAUAACCUGCGUUUUAUUUAAUUUUUCAUUUUAAUUUUUGACAAUAAAAUAUGUGUGACAGUGAUAACUCAGAAGAUCAAAGUGAUCAACCUUGUGCAAAGAAAGUGAAACUACACUAUGGUAUACUACCAAGUCAUCAUUCCCAACAAUCAUCAGAAGGAUCACAAAAUAUUAUUAUUGAAACUGGACGUCACCCUGAUCAGUUAAACACAAGGCAUACUAUCAAUGUUGUGUCAGACUUUAUUAAUCGAAUAGUACCAGACUAUUUUAAACUAUUGCAUCUAUUGGAAAUAUGUGUUCUUCACAUGUUAAACUACAAGACGGAAGUGAAUUAAUUAUGAUUGUAAUAUACAUUUCACCUAAUAACAAAAUGGAUUAUCUCAUUUCAUUUUUACAUGAAAGCUGCAUAUUUCAGUGUAAAUUUUGCAAGAGCUGAAUCAAUGCCAUUAAUGACAUUUCUUCAAAAAGAAUUUCAAUGGCAAAUCAAUAACGAUCCAAAAGAAUCUACUACCAAAUAUGGAACAACAAUAGAUGCUGUAUUUGUGAGAUAUCUUGAUGGUGUUUCAUCCAAUACUUUUGUAACGUACUUUAGUUAUCAUCGACCAAUCGUCACAGUAAUACCGGCAGAGGAAAAAUAGAAUAUAACUAUUAUUGAAGCCACAGAUGAAAAUAUUUAAAUUGUGGCAACUUGAUACUAAUAUCGAAUUUUUAUAUCAUGUAAAUAAAUGUUUAUUAAAUAAAGUUACCAUUUACUGUAAGAAUCUCGUAAUACUUCAUUUUUUCAUU